rnacentral:rRNA from 1 species
AUGCGAGUCGUACGUCUCUUGACUGCAGGAGGCGUGGCGAACGGCUCAGUAACACGUAGCCAACUUAACCUAGAGACGUGGACGACCCCGGGAAACUGGGAUUAAUCCACGAUAGACCAAGGUUCCUGGAAUGGGCUUUGGUCCAAAGGAUGAAUAAGCAUGUUUUGUUCAUCUGCUCUAGGAUGGGGCUGCGGCCGAUCAGGUUGUUGGCGGGGUAAUGGCCCACCAAGCCUAUAACCGGUACGGGCUUUGAGAGAAGGAGCCCGGAGAUGGACACUGAGAAAAGGGUCCAGGCCCUACGGGGCGCAGCAGGCGCGAAACCUUCGCAAUGCGCGAAAGCGUGACGAGGUUACUCCGAGUGCCACUCGCUGAGGGUGGCUUUUCCUAAGUCUAAAAAGCUUGGGGAAUAAGGGGAGGGUAAGUCUGGUGUCAGCCGCCGCGGUAAUACCAGCUCCUCGAGUGGUCGGGACGUUUAUUGGGCCUAAAGCAUCCGUAGCCGGUCUUGUAGGUCUUCUGUUAAACCCAACGGCCCAACCGUUGGACUGCAGGAGAUACCACAGGACUAGGAGGCGGGAGAGGCGGACGGUACUCCAUGGGUAGCGGUAAAAUGUUUUGAUCCAUGGAAGACCACCAGUGGCGAAGGCGGUCCGCCAGAACGCGCUCGACGGUGAGGGAUGAAAGCUGGGGGAGCGAACCGGAUUAGAUACCCGGGUAGUCCCAGCCGUAAACGAUGCGAGCUAGGUGCUGGAAUGGCUAUGUGUCAUCCCAGUGCCGCAGGGAAGCCGUUAAGCUCGCCGCCUGGGGAGUACGGUCGCAAGACUGAAACUUAAAGGAAUUGGCGGGGGAGCACCACAAGGGGUGAAGCCUGCGGUUUAAUUGGGGUCAACGCCGGGAACCUUACCCAGGGAGACAGCAGGAUGAAGGUCAAGUCAAAGACUUUACCAGACAAGCUGAGAGGAGGUGCAUGGCCGUCGCCAGCUCGUGCCGUGAGGCGUCCUGUUAAGUCAGGCAACGAGCGAGACCCUUACUACUAGUUGCUACCUCCAUCCGAAAGGAUUGAGGGGCUAAUUAGUGGGACUGCCGCCGCUAAGGCGGAGGAAGGAAGGGGCCACGGCAGGUCAGUAUGCCCCGAAAACCUGGGGCCACACGUGGGCUGCAAUGGUAGGGACAAUGGGCUCCGACCUCGAAAGGGAGAGGCAAUCCCCAAACCCUACCCCAGUUGUGACUGAGGGCUGCAACCCGCCCUCAUGAAUCUGGAAUCCC